rnacentral:rRNA from 1 species
GUGAGGAAUAUUGCGCAAUGGAGGCAACUCUGACGCAGCCAUGCCGCGUGCAGGAAGAAGGCGCUACGCGUUGUAAACUGCUUUUAACCGGGAAGAAACCCCAGGACGUGUCCUGGGUUGACGGUACCGGAGGAAUAAGCACCGGCUAACUUCGUGCCAGCAGCCGCGGUAAUACGAUGGGUGCAAGCGUUAUCCGGAUUCAUUGGGUUUAAAGGGUGCGUAGGCGGAGCGUUAAGUCAGUGGUGAAAUCCUGCAGCUUAACUGUAGACUUGCCAUUGAUACUGGCGCUCUUGAGUGCGCUUGAAGUGGGCGGAAUGUGCCGUGUAGCGGUGAAAUGCUUAGAUAUGGCACAGAACACCAAUUGCGAAGGCAGCUCACUAAGGCGAUACUGACGCUGAGGCACGAAAGCGUGGGGAUCGAACAGGAUUAGAAACCCUGGUAGUCC